rnacentral:sRNA from 1 species
UAGUGGUCAGGUACAAUAUUACAUGUG